rnacentral:rRNA from 2 species
AGAGUUUGAUCCUGGCUCAGGAUGAACGCUAGCGGCAGGCUUAACACAUGCAAGUCGAGGGGCAGCAUAAUGGAUAGCAAUAUCUAUGGUGGCGACCGGCGCACGGGUGCGUAACGCGUAUGCAACCUACCUUUAACAGGGGGAUAACACUGAGAAAUUGGUACUAAUACCCCAUAAUAUCAUAGAAGGCAUCUUUUAUGGUUGAAAAUUCCGAUGGUUAGAGAUGGGCAUGCGUUGUAUUAGCUAGUUGGUGGGGUAACGGCUCACCAAGGCGACGAUACAUAGGGGGACUGAGAGGUUAACCCCCCACACUGGUACUGAGACACGGACCAGACUCCUACGGGAGGCAGCAGUGAGGAAUAUUGGUCAAUGGACGCAAGUCUGAACCAGCCAUGCCGCGUGCAGGAUGACGGCUCUAUGAGUUGUAAACUGCUUUUGUACGAGGGUAAACGCAGAUACGUGUAUCUGUCUGAAAGUAUCGUACGAAUAAGGAUCGGCUAACUCCGUGCCAGCAGCCGCGGUAAUACGGAGGAUUCAAGCGUUAUCCGGAUUUAUUGGGUUUAAAGGGUGCGUAGGCGGUUUGAUAAGUUAGAGGUGAAAUACCGGUGCUUAACACCGGAACUGCCUCUAAUACUGUUGAACUAGAGAGUAGUUGCGGUAGGCGGAAUGUAUGGUGUAGCGGUGAAAUGCUUAGAGAUCAUACAGAACACCGAUUGCGAAGGCAGCUUACCAAACUAUAUCUGACGUUGAGGCACGAAAGCGUGGGGAGCAAACAGGAUUAGAUACCCUGGUAGUCCACGCAGUAAACGAUGAUAACUCGUUGUCGGCGAUACACAGUCGGUGACUAAGCGAAAGCGAUAAGUUAUCCACCUGGGGAGUACGUUCGCAAGAAUGAAACUCAAAGGAAUUGACGGGGGCCCGCACAAGCGGAGGAACAUGUG